AGUGGGAUAACUGGGUCAAAUGUUGGUUCCACUCCAAGUUUUCUGAGGAAUCUCCACACUGCUUUCCAGAGUGAAUUCACCAAUUUGCAGUCCCACCAGCAAU
rnacentral:pre_miRNA from 1 species